UACGGAGGGUGCAAGCGUUAUCCGGAUUCACUGGGUUUAAAGGGUGCGUAGGUGGGUCUGUAAGUCAGUGGUGAAAUCUCCAAGCUUAACUUGGAAACUGCCGUUGAUACUAUAGACCUUGAAUGCUGUGGAGGUGAGCGGAAUAUGUCAUGUAGCGGUGAAAUGCUUAGAUAUGACAUAGAACACCAAUUGCGAAGGCAGCUUACUACACAACGAUUGACGCUGAGGCACGAAAGCGUGGGGAUCAAACAGG
rnacentral:rRNA from 1 species